AGGGUUUGAUUAUGGCUCAGGAUGAACGCUGGCGGCGUGCUUAACACAUGCAAGUCGAACGAACCUUCGGGUUAGUGGCGGACGGGUGAGUAACGCGCGAGAAUCUGCCCUCAGGAGGGGGAUAACGGUUGGAAACGACCGCUAAUACCCCAUAUGCCGAUAGGUGAAAUGAAUUUCGCCUGAGGAUGAGCUCGCGUCUGAUUAGCUUGUUGGUGAGGUAAUGGCUCACCAAGGCUUCGAUCAGUAGCUGGUCUGAGAGGAUGAUCAGCCACACUGGGACUGAGACACGGCCCAGACUCCUACGGGAGGCAGCAGUGGGGAAUUUUCCGCAAUGGGCGAAAGCCUGACGGAGCAACGCCGCGUGAGGGACGAAGGCCUCUGGGCUGUAAACCUCUUUUCUCAAGGAAGAAGAUAUGACGGUACUUGAGGAAUAAGCCACGGCUAAUUCCGUGCCAGCCGCCGCGGUAAUAC
rnacentral:rRNA from 1 species